UAAUAUGUGUAUAUAUAUAAUAGAACACUAAACACUAUUUAUGUAAAUGCCCAUUCUUAAGUUUGUAAAAUAAUAAUUUGUUUUUAUAAAAAUCUGGCUAUGCCUAUAGUACUCUUAACAAAAUUAUGACUAAAAAUAUUAUGAACGUCGAGUUGCUAGAUUCAUCAUCUUUGUGUGUCUGAUAAACCCAGAGAAUCAAGAUAUAGAAUCUAUAUAGGCCCCCUAUUAUAUAGAAUCUAGCUCUAGUCGACUCUAGACUAGAUCUAGUAUAAAUCAGAAGUCUAGAUGAUCAGCUUCAUCUUACCUUGAUCAUGGCAUGAUCAACAUGAUGAUUAAUCUGACUUGUUAACUUAAACUUCGACUUCGUCUUAUUACUUUUAGCCUUAGCCUUAGGCUUAGCUUCUUCAUAUGUGAAUUAUGAAUGGAAGUAUCGAAGUGCUUGGCUCACAGCGUCACAGAUCGUUCUUUAAACUAUUUGAAGAUCUACUUUAUCUUUACUAACGACUCUAUAUCUAGUUUAUAUCUAUAUUUUAUAUGAUAAUAAUAGACCAAGACUCUUAUAAUUAUAAGAUCUAGAAUCUGUAUCUAGAUUUAGAUCUAUUCCUAUACACUGAUUAUACACUACAGAUUUAAUGUUUCUGAUGAGCAAUACUAUUGUCUACAGCCAUUGCCCAUUAACAUAGGCCCUACUCAUGUACUAGAUCUAGCUCUUUUGAUCACAACUCAUAUCUUGCCUAGAUAUAAACAACUGUACUAGAUUGGACUAGACAUUCUAAUCGGUUCUAUUUUCUUUUUCAUUAUUCUCACACAUGGCAGUAGGUACCAAAUUGUGCUAUUUAUUCACUGUAGAUCUAGAUCUUAACUUUGCUCUUAACUACCAAAGAAGUACACAAAGGAUGUUGAAUGAUACCCAAAGGGUUCUAAUUGCUACCAUUCAAUGUGUGGAUUCAAGUAUUUACCCAGAUACUGCCACAAUAUGUUAUUAUUGUUUUCAAAGGAGUUUGCACACAGUGCCAGAAGCUGUAUGAAUACAUUUAACAAUGUAUAUUUCAAGAAGAAAUGAUGCUUUCUUAUUCCUAAGAGUUUUAUCAAUAGGAUGAAUGCCACAAAACUCACUUGUUAUGCCAGAAACUCUUCCUACGAAACUUCCAUACUAGAAUUUGUCCAGUGCCUGUGAUCCUCUGAGUUGAAGGAGAAUGUGCUUCAUAAUACGUACUAGUAGCUUGCUGAUAGCUGGAAGUUCAUGAAUACUAUGUUGUCCUUGAUUUGAUGAUUCUGAAAACUACCAUUUCUGAAGACUUGAGCAUUAUUUCUAUAAUUUAAAAAAUUAUUUUCAGGAAAUAUUGUGUUUAUAAUAUUAAGAAAGUGUAGAUAAUAUUGUUCUUACUAAUAUUAUUGUUAUUAUUAUUAUUAAAAUAGAAAGCACAUCAUUACAAUAUUCACUUGUCAAUAAAUGUUAGCCAUAUUCAAUUUUUAGUUACAUGUUCAGACUAUUAAAUUUUAUUAUUUAAAUUAUAGCAACUUUCUCUUUCAGUCAAGCUUAAGAUACAUUCCUGUAAAAAGUCUAUAAUAAUAAGUUAAUACUUCACAAAAAAAAGUGUUUGAAUGGUUUUCAUUUGUUUGUACAUCAAAUAUGUAUUAAUAUAAUUAUCAUUUUUAGAUGAAACAUUGAAUACUGAAGAUGACCAUUUCAAUUUCUGAUGUAGGCCUAUUCUCAUUUCAUAAAACAAACAAAAUAUUAUCUGAAAUUUCAUCCCUUCAUGGUAACUGUAACUGGCUUCAUAAAAAAUGGAGUGAUGACUGGGUUGACUAUACAUUUUGGUAUAAAUAAUGUACCAAUGAAUGUAGCUUAUACUGUUCUUUUCCUCAUCUUGAAGUGUGUGGACUGAUAAUUUGCUGUUGCAUUUUGUUUUCAUAAGUCAAUGACACAUGAUACUCUAAAUGACAAAUAUCUUCUACACAUUACAAUAGCACAUUUCCAUGCUGUUUGUCUAAGUGGAAGCAGAUAAAAUUUGUUCCUCUAUUAGCUGUAAAAUCUCAAAAUUCAUGAGCAGCUGAGAAAAAAAGAAAAGAAAUUCAAACUAGUUUAGACAUGUUAUAAAUAUAUAUAUUUGCUAAUAAAAAAUGUAAGACUACUUUAUGUUACAACAAUGGACAGCAUCUUUAAAGCUGAUAUUAAU